AGGGAAAAAAGAUAGGAUAGGAUUUGGAAUGCAAUGCAAAUGGAAAUGCAUCAUAAACAAGGUAAAGAAAGGGCAGAGCGAGCAGCAUGCAGUUUAAUUUUCAUAUACUGUCUGUCAUAUAUGGUCAGUACUGAGUCAGACAAAAAAAGAAAGAAAGAAAAAAAAGGAGGAAGAGGUUGCCAAUACAAUACAGACAGAAGAAACAACCAAUUUAACCCUUGUUGCUUUGUCUUCUUCCUUUGGUCUUUUGAUUCCUCUCUUCCAUUUGUCUUUCCAAACAACCAUACAUCAUACAUAUAACUUAUUAUUAUAUUAUAUUAAUCAAACCCAAAAGUACCAACACUUCUCUCUCUAGUACUACUCUCUGAUCUACUGCAACACUGUUCAAUUCAAACCCACACAACGUCUAAUUUCAACAUUCAUCUAUUGGUACAAUAGAUGGAGCUGGCGGUUGUGCUUCCAUUUAACUUAAAUCACCCAGUUUUAGUUCAUCAUUAAUUAAGUUUGUGUAGAAAUGAAGAUUGGCAGUUAUUGAUCCCGGGGAUGGAUGGAGGAGGUGGUGGUGGUGGAUGGUCUUCCACAGAAUUUGAAGCUCUCUGGGAACUUAAAACAGCCUUUCCAAAAGCGCGCAGCGGAAAUGGGAGAGAGUGUGGUGGUUUUGUGAAAUGACUGCGCCAGGAAGUUUAAAGUGAGGUGGUGAUAAAUGGUUUUGGAUAGAAGAUCUGAAAACAUACAUACAUAUAUAUAUAUAUAUAUAUGUAUGUAUGUAUGUAUAUUUUGUAGUGAGGAACAAAGACAGAGGUUAGGUAAUGAUCCGACAAAUUAAUGACUGACAAUGAGAUUCAAAAGUUUGAAAAUCAGCAUAUUCCAUCUUCCUUGUUGCCAUUCCCUAUUUUUUUUUUCUUUUAACAUUUUGUAAUAUAAAUGCAACGAAUCUUACGAAUGAUCUGAAUAUUCAUGAACUUCUUUCUAUGUUCUUGGAAGGUGACAGAUAUAUAUAUAUAUAUAUAGAUGUGGAAGAAGAAAAGACAACUUAGAGGUCUACAUUUUGGCUUCUCUCAUCAGAUUUAACCUCA